CNAAUGCGUAGCUGACGGAGCAUGCCGCGUUGAGUGAUGAAGGUUUUCGGAUCGUAAAGCUCUGUUGCCAGGGAAGAACGCUUGGGAGAGUAACUGCUCUCAAGGUGACGGUACCUGAGAAGAAAGCCCCGGCUAACUACGUGCCAGCGGCCGCGGU
rnacentral:rRNA from 1 species